AGCAACUCCAAAAUGGAAGUACUAUUGUUAUCUCCGUUUACAAAUUAGGAAACUGAGGCACAGAUAUGCUCUUGGGUACUUGUCAGCAGCAGUUGUUCUACAAAUGAGCGUCUUAGCCUCUGGAUUACUGCUCAAUGAGGAAAGCUAUGAAAUGCAUGGAUAACUUGCUAAUCAGUAUUUGCCAUAUGUGCUAGCAGCAUCAGCAUCAGUUGGGAGAUUAUGGUGGCCUCCAUGUCAGACCUCCUAAAUCGGAAUAUCAGAGAAGGUGGCCCAGGUUACCAUGCUUCAUCUGCCAAUGCAUUGAAAACUUGGAAUGUAAAUUAAUUCAACCAUUGUGGAAGAUGGUGUAGUGAUUCCUCAAAGACCUAGAAGCAGAAAUAUCAUUUGAUCCAGAAAUCCCAUUACUGUGUAUACACCCAAAGGAAUAUAAACCAUUCUAUUACAAA
rnacentral:lncRNA from 1 species